rnacentral:rRNA from 1 species
CCCUUAGAUGUUCGGGGCCGCACGCGCGCUACGCUGAAGGAAUCAGCACGUCUUUCUCCUUGUCCGAAAGGACUGGGUAACCCGCUGAACCUCCUUCGUGCUAGGGAUUGGGGCUUGUAAUUCUUCCCCAUGAACGAGGAAUUCCCAGUAAGCGCGAGUCAUAAGCUCGCGUUGAUUACGUCCCUGCCCUUUGUACACACCGCCCGUCGCUACUACCGAUUGGAUGGUUUAGUGAGAUCCUCGGAUUGGUCCCGGCGCGGCCUCUGGUCGUGCCGGAGUGCCGAAAAGAAUGUCGAACUUGAUCAUCUAGAGGAAGUAAAAGUCGUAACA